AGACGUGAAGGUGAUCUGGCUGCAACACCUGUCACCCCACUGAUCACCAGGACUGAUUCAGGUGAUCUGUCUGGUGAGGUGGGUGUCCCCUUCCUGCCUCACCAUUACAUGUGCAUCUCUGCAAAAAAAAACAAAAAAAAAAAACAAAAACCAUGUGCAUCUCUCCUGAAGCUGAAGCUGCACACUCCUAUGGAAGAGGAGUACCAGCCCUGAUAUAGGAGGAAUGUUUCUAAGGCCAAGUACGAUAAGCUGUACUCCCCUGCUAGAACCUCCAAACAAGUUCUCAAGAAUUGGAAAAAAAAAAAUCUGUCAUUCACAACUGAUUGUACACAUAGAAAAUC
rnacentral:snRNA from 1 species